rnacentral:lncRNA from 1 species
UAGGUCUGAGACCACAAUUAUUUCGUAGUGCAUUUCUUUUAGAACAUAAAUGAAAAUUAAAAAAAUCCCACCUGCGCUUUCUCAAUGAAAUUUUUACAGUGUGUUGUACUACUUUUGGGACAAAUUAUAUCAAAAUUAUAGAAAACUUGAUCGGCUCUAACUCAAAAUAUGGACAAUUUUAUGUUUAGGGCGUCUUGAAAUCUUUUGACAGCUUCCAAAGUGCUAAUUUUUAACCUUUUUCAGCUGGACCAAAUCACUACUUUCCCUUAAAAUUCUGGACCCAAAUUUUUUUUUACAGUGUA